GACAGAGGGUGCAAACGUUGUUCGGAAUUACUGGGCGUAAAGCGCGUGUAGGCGGCUAAGUAAGUCGGGCGUGAAAUCCCACGGCUCAACCGUGGAAGUGCACUCGAAACUGCAUAGCUAGAGUCCUGGAGAGGAAGGUGGAAUGCUUGGUGUAGAGGUGAAAUUCGUAGAUAUCAAGCGGAACACCGGUGGCGAAGGCGGCCUUCUGGACAGUGACUGACGCUGAGGUGCGAAAGCGUGGGGAGCAAACAGG
rnacentral:rRNA from 1 species